UACGUAGGGGGCAAGCGUUGUCCGGAUUUAUUGGGCGUAAAGAGCGUGUAGGCGGCCAGGUAGGUCUGCUGUGAAAACUCGAGGCUCAACCUCGAGAUGUCGGCGGAAACCAUCUGGCUAGAGUCCGGAAGAGGAAAGUGGAAUUCCUGGUGUAGCGGUGAAAUGCGCAGAUAUCAGGAAGAACACCCGUGGCGAAGGCGGCUUUCUGGGACGGUACUGACGCUGGAGACGCGAAAGCGUGGGGAGCGAACAGG
rnacentral:rRNA from 1 species